UCUGGGGAUAUAGCUCAGUCAGUAGAGUGCUUGCCUUGCAUGCACAGGACCCUGGGUUCAAUCCCCAGCACCACAGAG
rnacentral:tRNA from 1 species